rnacentral:rRNA from 1 species
CCCAGACUCCUACGGGAGGCAGCAGUGGGGAAUAUUGCACAAUGGGGGAAACCCUGAUGCAGCAACGCCGCGUGAGUGAAGAAGUCAUUCGUGAUGUAAAGCUCUAUCAGCAGGGAAGAUAAUGACGGUACCUGACCAAGAAGCCCCGGCUAACUACGUGCCAGCAGCCGCGGUAAUACGUAAGGGGCCAAGCGUAAUCCGGAUUUACUGGGUGUAAAGGGAGCGUAGACGGCAGAACAAGUCUGGAGUGAAAUCCCGGGGCUUAACCCCGGAACUGCUUUGGAAACUGUGCGGCUGGAGUGCAGGAGGGGUAAGCGGAAUUCCUAGUGUAGCGGUGAAAUGCGUAGAUAUUAGGAGGAACACCGGUGGCGAAGGCGGCUUACUGGACUGUAACUGACGUUGAGGCUCGAAAGCGUGGGGAGCAAACAGGAUUAGAUACCCUAGUAAUG